rnacentral:rRNA from 1 species
AUGGCUAAUAGGUCUCCAGAUCUUAAUAUUGACCCCAUACAGAAGAUUCUGCAAAUACUAGAGUGUAACCCUUAUGCGCAAGCUUUCAAGAGCCUUGAGUCUGUACCGAAUCUACAUGAGUACAAAAUCUCACUAGACACGGAUAUCAACUUGGAUCGACGAAGGUACAAUGCCAGAACGACUUCUCAAGUGGUAGAAAUAUGGGUUGAAGGGAGCGCCCACAAAAUUACUUUGACAGUGUUGUCGUGCAUGGAAAAAAGGGAGACUGGCCCCUAUAUAUUAGAUCAUACUAGGGGUGCGACGACCCAUUGUCAUAACCACUAUUCUUCCCACGUAGGGAGACUGGUUGGAAUCAUUGCAUGCCAUAUGUUGGGCCCCUGGAUGACACGACCGAAAAUUUAG